GUUUACAAACAGGAAUGUGCAAAUGUACAUCUUGAACGAAGUGACAUGUACUAAAACGACGGAGGAAAGAAUUUUUGCCGGUGCCAAAACGUGAAAAAUACUUUCCUUAGAAUAUGUGAUGGUUGCUGAAUCAUGUAAAGAAGAAUAACUAAUGGCGCUGUAUGGUUACAUGAGUUAUGGGACAGCUACCGACGCCUAAAUCGAGGACAUAUUUAAAUCGCUUCCAAUCAUCCUUCAGAUGGUUUCUGCACCAUGUAAAGAAGAAUUACUAAUGCCACUGUAUGAUGGUUGCAGCAGCAUCUAAGGAAGAAUUACUAAUCAUAUGUUGGAAGCUUUUGAGAAGCAUGGUGCGCUGCGGGGAAAAAACUCAUAAAGACUGGAAAUGUAAAGAAAAGUGACAUCUAAACUCAGUGAACAAAUGCCAUGAGAAAUGAAUGGCUUGUCUACUUAAAAUGAAAUUUAAUGGUUGUUUUACUGAAAAUUUUACGUUUUUCACAUAUCACAAUAUAUGAUACUAUGUCCUCUUCGUUGUGACAUCUCCUUUCAAAAGCACACUCGCAAAAUGUUUAAGUCUAAAAUAUGGAGCAGGACACCAUUUCAACACGAAACUGAAACCAUGAUCUCACAGUUCCCUGGUGUUUUUCAGUAUAAAUCGAUGGCACAAACAGAUGCUGCUAAGCGAAGACCUACAAAGUUUACGUGAGGCGUUAAAUACAGACAUUAAGAAAUGAAGUGAUAUGAUAGUGACAUAGGUACUAACAACACAACUAAGCAGCAUAAACUAAUAUCAACGCCUUGAGCUAUAUUAAUUUAACCUUACCAGUGUAUUCUUAAGGACAUAAAUAAUAAUAAAUCAACGAAGACGU